AACAUUAUCCUAAAGGAUACUGUUUCAGCCACUGCAAUUAAAUGAGGGUUAAAGAAAAUAGUAGAUAGCUUGUGAUAUUUGCAACAUAUGAAAUAUUACUUGCAGAAGGUAUGAUAAUGCAUACCAACCAUCUCAGGUAAUCAACAAUUAAAAUGAAGGCGGCAGUUCAACCAAGGUUAAACACGAAGCCGGACAAUGGUUCUGAAUGGAGAUAUCUGAUUGGACCGGAAUGAACCUGCGACCUCUGGGCUUUGCAACUGCUCCAAUCAUCCUUCCGGACUAAAUAAAGCCUCUGCAGUGCAAAAGACUUCCUGUUGCUCCUGGGUUUAAGAUGCACUAAGGCAGGGAUGGGGCGGGAUUUCCGGCAGCGUCAUGACAGAAUGUCCGUUAACGUGAGGACUUUGGUAGGAUCCCGAAAGUGUGGCCCGAAAUUGUUCAGUGGGUGGUGUCUACAGGGUCUGGGCUUUACCUGACUCAGUCUACCUCCCAGGUGGGCGUGAUCUGACUCAGUCUACCUCCCAGACUGCGGUUGAGGCCCUGGUGAGGUUUUAGGCCUCCAAGCCUGCGCUGACCGGCCACGCUCCCCAGAUUCCCCCAUGGUGGAUGCACCCGUGAACCAAGCCCAGAGCUGUGUGAGCUUGGAAGAUGUGUGCCUGUAUUUCACUGAGGAGGAGUGGGAUCUCCUCAGUGAUGCUCAGAAGCUCCUGUACCAUAAUGUGAUGUUGGAGAACUUCUCGAUUGUCCUCUCGCUUGGGCUUCCUAUUUCCAGGUCCUUCCCAGCGUUUUAAAGCACCGAGGUGAGCAGUACCCAGAGAAGAAGCUAAACGGGAGUGUCACAGAGAAGGGAAAUGAAAACCACUGAAUGACAGGCACAUUACUGGCAUCUUUAUAACAUUCAUCCAGAUCAAUGACCUGCCUUGGGACCUGUCCUUUCAGGUGGAUACAGCAGAGAAUCAGAUCUUUCUAUAAUAUCCAUAGCCAGCUGUUACAAAAUUUAUAUUGUAUACCACGUGCUUUUAUAUCUCUCACAUUACUUAAUAAAAUCAUGUAUUUUCUCAUUAAUAAAUACUUCCACGAAGCAUUGUAUAUUAUAUACCAUUCCUUUCCAAGAUGUAACAUGACUUAUUUAAUAUUUCCCUGUAGGUGGAAGUUCAAAUUGUUUGCAAUUUGUCCUUACUAUAAAAAAAAUUGUUAAAUGUUUCUCCAUGUAUGACUUUUUAGAUGUAGUCAUUCUGAUUAUAAUUUUCUGUUACUAAAAGGUUAUUGAGUAAAAUGUCCGAGUAUUUUAAGGGGUUUGGGUACAGUUUGGAGACGUGUGAUUGUGUUUGCUUUCUACAACCCUCCUGGCUUGCUGUGUUUGGUUGGGACUAGCCUUCCGCCCCAGCCCGUGAUUUGCCCUUCAUCAGGAGCAGGGAGCACACUGUGUCUAUCUCUACUCUGCUCGUCAACACCUGCAUCUGCCUCACAAGCAGCACGUCUGGAGCUGUGAUGAGAACGUGGCUUACACUGAGCGUGCUGAAUCUCCAGACUGACAGUCAGAUGAUCGCAGAUGUGUCAAAUUAACCAGGGACAGCUCUUUGUUAAGCUUAACGUGCUAGGGAGAUGCUUCGUAGAUAAGGUUCCUCAUACAGUUAAUUUUCUCUUUUGUGUGUAGAGUUAAUGUUAUACUUUUCUCAUACAAGGCUGAUUAAACAAGACCUAUGUGGAAAUAGAUUUUUUUAUAUAGGUUCUCAAUAUUCAUUGGAAAUAGUUUUGAGCUUGUUUGUAUAUUUAAAAUGAAAAACUACAUUGACCUUAUAUUCCAUCUACCACUUGGGAUGCCUGUACAUUUAAAUAUAACACUGAUUCAUUUCUUCUA